CGGUUCCCCCGGGGCGCCGGAAAGCCCGGGGGGGCUUGGAGCGCCGUACCCACACGCCUCUCGCCAGCUCUCCCAGUGCGGGCGGAGGCGCCAGAUUUAAGAGUAAAAGGCGCCGUAAGCGGGAGAGGAGCGAGCCCAGGGCGGAGGCGAGACCGGAGGGCACCGGAGCCAGCCGGGGUGCGAGCUGCCCGGGGCUUCCCAGCCUCAUUCUCCCCGGAGCUGGUGUCAGGUACCGGGGCUCUUAAUGAGUUUCCCAAACGCUUGGAUCUGAACGCCGCCGUCGCCGCUCUUCUCGGAGCCGCGGCUGUCCAUUAGAGCUGCCGCCGACUACACAGCUCCUCUCCAUCCUCCUCAAGGUCUCGGAUGGAAGCAGCGUGCAACAGCAUGGCCCUCGAGAGGCUCGGGGAAGCGCUGCGCGGCAUCCCCCCGUUGCAAAGCUCCCUCCUGCUCCUCCUCUGCCUCCUCGCAGCCAUCCACCUGGGCAAGCUCCUCCUGCAGCAUCAGCAGCGCCGGCGGCAGGGCCAGCGCCAGGCGCCGCCGGGCCCUUUCCCCUGGCCCCUGAUCGGCAACGCGGCGCAGCUGGGCA
rnacentral:lncRNA from 1 species